UACAGAGGGGGCAAGCGUUGUUCAGAAUUACUGGGCGUAAAGGGCGCGUAGGCGGCCUUCUAAGUCGAACGUGAAAUCCCCGGGCUCAACCCGGGAACUGCGUCCGAUACUGGAAGGCUUGAAUUCGGGAGAGGGAUGCGGAAUUCCAGGUGUAGCGGUGAAAUGCGUAGAUAUCUGGAGGAACACCGGUGGCGAAGGCGCCACUCUGGGCCGAAACUGACGCUGAGGAGCGAAAGCGUGGGUAGCAAACAGG
rnacentral:rRNA from 1 species